UUACUGAGACUGUGAUAACAAGGGCCAUGAAGAGCAUGCCAUACAUCAGAAGAAGACAACACUGCUUACUCCACAAGCGACCUGCAGACGUUUAAAUGGAAAGUGGCUCUGGAGUGCAGCAUUACUGGUUUGACCAUCUUUAUACAGAUAAAACACAACACUCCUCUUCAUGAAUCCACACAUCCAUCCUUAACCUGAUUUUUCAAAUUGUGUCAAGACCCCUCAGUGCAGAGAGUCAGCAUCAAACUGAUGACAUGGAGAUGGCUGAAGUCAAGUGAAGUUUUGUUUAAUUUGUUGUAUCCAAAAGACCUCACUCAGUGCAUUCCAUUAUAACCAUGCUGUAGAAA